AGUGAACGCUGGCGGUAGGCCUAACACAUGUAAGUCGAACGGCAGCACAGUAAGAGCUUGCUCUUACGGGUGGCGAGUGGCGGACGGGUGAGGAAUACAUCGGAAUCUACUUUUUCGUGGGGGAUAACGUAGGGAAACUUACGCUAAUACCGCAUACGACCUACGGGUGAAAGCAGGGGAUCUUCGGACCUUGCGCGAUUGAAUGAGCCGAUGUCGGAUUAGCUAGUUGGCGGGGUAAAGGCCCACCAAGGCGACGAUCCGUAGCUGGUCUGGGAGGAUGAUCAGCCACACUGGAACUGAGACACGGUCCAGACUCCUACGGGAGGCAGCAGUGGGGAAUAUUGGACAAUGGGCGCAAGCCUGAUCCAGCCAUACCGCGUGGGUGAAGAAGGCCUUCGGGUUGUAAAGCCCUUUUGUUGGGAAAGAAAAGCAGCAGGUUAAUACCCCGCUGUUCUGACGGUACCCAAAGAAUAAGCACUGGCUAACUUCGUG
rnacentral:rRNA from 1 species